rnacentral:rRNA from 1 species
UAGUCAUAUGCUUGUUUCAAGGACUAAGCCAUGCAUGCCUCAGAAUAACUGCACUGCAGGAGUCUGCGCAUGGCUCAUUACAUCAGACGCAAUCUGCCGCAAAAACUGUUGCGGAAACGCAUUAAUUGGAUACCUUGUGCGAAACGCCAAGCUAAUACAUGAACUGAAGGGGAUCGUGUCCGUUCAAACACGCCCGGCGCAAGCCGGGGGUGGAGUGCGACCCCGCGGAUGAAUGCAAGUACAAACCAAUGCCUGUCAAAGGGCAGUAACACGGAGAAGUGCUGAAUCAAUUCAUCAUAGCGAAAGCUGGCCUAGCCAGCGUCUUUUGACGAACAACUGCCCUAUCAGCCAGUGAUGGCCGUGUAGUGGACUGCCAUGGCGUUGACGGGAGCGGGGGAUUAGGGUUCGAUUCCGGAGAGGGAGCCUGAGAAAUGGCUACCACUUCUACGGAGGGUAGCAGGCGCGCAAAUUGCCCAAUGCCAAAACAAAUGAUGAGGCAGCGAAAAGAAAUAGGUGCCCCAAACUCCUAGUGGGUUUGGGGCUUUCAAUGGGGGAUAUUCAAAACCAUCCAACAUCGAGUAACAAUU